CGAAUCAAUAUUUAGACAAU
rnacentral:miRNA from 1 species